UUGCUGUUGUGUUGCCUCAGCUCUGUGGUGGAAAGGCGAAAUCCGAAAAACUUCUCUUUCAGUUGCAGUAAAGACACUAUCAUUGGCGUUUCAACUCUGGACGACAUACGGUGUCACCAUUAGACUCAACCAAAAAUAAAAAAGUAAUAAAAAUUUAUCAACAAAAGUAUUAAAACAAACGACGGAACGCACCAUUGAACAAAAAGUGUAAAAAAUCUAAGCAUUUCCACACACAAUAUCGCCCAACGUACAUUCGAAGAAAAACAAAGUCCUAAACUUGUCGACGAGCCCACAACAACAAGAACAACAACAAAAGCAAAACAACAACAACCAAAUUAAACAACAAAAAAUAGAUCAGUCAACAUGUUUUUGCAACACCACAGUUGAUUAUGAUAUUUAAAAGGACAUUGCAGCAACAAGAACAACCGCAACAAUAUUAUUAUUCAAUAAUUAAUUGUUAUACGAAUAUUUAAGAGAAAAAA
rnacentral:sRNA from 1 species